rnacentral:misc_RNA from 1 species
GUAAAAUGGGGAUGGGAAGAGUUGUGAGGAUUAGGUGAAUUUACGUGUGAUCGGUUUUUGGUGUGUGGUAUGUGAAACGUUUUAGGGAAAUGUUAGUUCGUUUUUUUUUUCGAUGAAAGUUGUCGUUUAUAUAGGGAGUUUUUUUAGUUUUUUUGAUGUUGUUAAGUUGUUUUUGUUAGUAUAUUUUUAGUCAUAGAAAGUUUUUAGUUUGUUU